AUAACUGCUACUGAAGCAUUUGCUUCCAAAUAGUGGAACUGGAAUAUAUGAAUUUAUAUACCUUCAGGAAUAUCUAAUAUGUUGCUCCUAAUCAAUGCCAUUCUCAGCUUGUGGGUCUCCUCUGCUGAGGGAAAAGAAGUAACAUGUGAUCCUCCUCAUGUUGCAAAUGGUUUCUUCACACCUGAAAGGACUAUACACAGAAGUGAAGAUAAAAUCACCUACCACUGUAAAACUGGCUUUUAUCCUUCAACCCAGGGAAAUACAGCAAUAUGUACUGGCAGUGGCUGGGUACCUGUUCCAAGAUGUGCUUGACAAUGCUAUUUCUACUCUAUUGAAAAUGGACGUGCUUCAAAUGAAAGCUACACAUAUUUAGAGAAUGAAUUCAUAAAUAUUGUGUGCAAUCCUGGCUACAGUCUUCCAAAUGAACAGACCAAAAUUACAUGUACAGA